CGAUGGGGUAGAGGCGCAGGAUUCAAGAGUAAGCUGUGUGAGGAUGACAACGUUGAUCACAGCUAAAAGGGAAUUUUGCCGAAGCAAUAAUCAGUGAGUCACAUUUUUUAUUGCUGGGGAUACUUUGAACAAGAGUAUCACUGUCAUUAUGGAGGUAUAUCCAUAAUGGGGAGCUACAGAUCGU
rnacentral:ncRNA from 2 species